rnacentral:lncRNA from 1 species
AAUUUAUUUGUUUGAAAUAAAUCGUGAUUUCUUGAAUCUUGAGUUGACCAUGUUUUGACUUUUUGAUUAACAGUGAGAGAGUGAAUGAUAAGAACAGGGUUAUUAAAAAUAGAGGUAGGCUAGCUUUUUAUUAGAAAUGGCCCGAUUCGAGAGGGGCAAGGUCUCCAAUUACAGGAAAAGAUAGAUAUGAGUAAUAUGUGAUACUCAACUAAUAAGCAAACCUAUUAUUUAUAAUACCCUAUUCUUAAUAUUAAAUAUGGUAGCUGCUAAGGUUAGGUAUGGCAAUUGCUCCCACUUCCUUUGAUAACCACCCCUUGAUUUGGGUAACUCCAGCCAAUUGCCAUUUAAUUGAUUUGGCCUAGUGGAUUCAGCCAAUUCCCAAAAAUAGAAUUCAAUUGCCCCAUAUUGGCAGCUGUCAUACGAUUCUUUUUCCUGGAAUAUACCUUUAGUGGAUUUUUAUCAUUACUUCCCUCCCGGUAAAACGCCUUGUCCUCAAGGCGGAAAGUAGGGAAUUGCUCCUUUAUCAAAUCAUAAGUUUCCCAUGUGGACUCUUCGAUGGGGCGGUUACACCAAGAAACCAACAGUUCUAAGUUUGGGUGGCCAGCUUCACGAACCCAACGAUGAGUGAUGACAGAACUUGGUUGCCAGUCAAUUUCCCAGUCUUUGGUGAUGGGUAAAGGUGCAGUUGGGACUGAAGAAAAGGAGCCAUGAGCCGGUUUAAGCAUCGAAACGUGAAAGACUGGGUGAACUCUAGCUUCGGGUGGUAGUUCCAGCUCAUAAGCAACUGGGCCUACUGUUCGUUUAAUACGAUAUGGGCCAAAAAAACCUUGGAGAAAGCUUCUCGUAUCGGCGCUUGGCCAAACUUUUUUGACGGUAGGGCUGAAUCUUCAAGAAAGCAUAAUCACCAACCUGAAACGUGAGUUCCCGUCGCUUCAAAUUUGCUUGGUUUUUCAUCCGGUCUUGGGCCUUUUGGAGGUUUUGUCGUAGGAGCUUCAACAUAUCAUCCCUAUCAAAUAAUUGAUGUUCCAGUUCUGCAUUUUUGGUUUCCCCUGUAACAUAAGGAAACAAAGGAGGUUCCCUGCCAUAAACAACAGUAAAUGGUGUUGUACCAGUGGAUGUAUGGUAACCAGUGUUAUAAGAAUAUUCAGCCCAUGGUAUGAAAGUACUCCAUUUGGUUGGUUGUUCACUAGCAAAGCAACGUAGAUAAGCUUCUAAACAACGAUUCAAGACUUCCGUUUGACCGUCCGUUUGAGGAUGAUAACUUGUGCUCAAUUUCAGUUUGGUUUGACUUAAUCGAAACAAUUCUUGCCAAAAGUUGCUAAGAAAAACCACGUCUCGGUCAGAGACGAUAGAGCGAGGAAAACCAUGUAAUCGGAUAAUCUCUUUGCAAAAUAUCACUGCUACCCCUUUAGCCGUGAAUGGGUGAGAUAAACAGAGAAAGUGAGCAUAUUUGCUUAGGCGAUCCACCACGACUAAGAUAGUAUCGAAACGGCUUGAUGGGGGUAAACCUACGAUAAAAUCAAUAGAAAUAUCCUCCCAAACUUGGCUUGGAAUGGGCAAGGGCUGAAGCAAACCGGCGGGGGACAGAGUUUGGUAUUUCUGUUGUUGACAUAUGACACAUUGCUGCACAAAAACCCUUACUUCCUGUUUCAUCUUUAGCCAAUAAUAACGAGAGCACAAUCGUUUAUAGGUUUUUAAAAAACCUCCAUGGCCACCAAGUGGAGUAUCAUGUGCUUCCUGUAACAGUUUUAGCCUGAGGGAAGAUACUUCAGGUAUUACCAAACGCCCUUGAUAAAACAAAAGCUGAUUUGCAAGAGAAAAAUCAGUAACUGAUGAAGGAUCUUCAUGUAGUUUGCUAAUCAAGUCUCUUGUAAAUGGGUCGGUUUGAUACCCUGCUUUGAUUUCAGCUACCUCAACACAAUAAGGCACAAUUAAUGUCAACAAUUCUCCUGAAUGAGGUCGUCGAGAUAGAGCAUCAGCUCCCUUGUUCUCUUUUCCUGCUUUGUGAAUAAUCGAGAAAUCAUAAGGCAUCAAUUUAAGUGGCAACCUUUGCUGCUGAAUAGUGGUAAUUCGCUGUUCUAACAAAAAUUUCAGGGUAUAAUGAUCGGUGCGGAUUAAAAAAUGACGACCAAGCAGGUAAUGACUCCAUUUUUGUACCGCCAAUACCAAUGCCAACAACUCUCUGUCAUAAGCCGAUUUAAAUCGGUUAGAUGGAGAGAACCCCUUGUUGAAAUAGGCCACAGGAUGGUCUUGCUGUGAUAAUAUUGCUCCCACACCAUCCGAUGAAGCAUCACAUUCUAUGACAAAAGGUUUUGAAAAAUCGGGUAGCCGAAGGACUGGAGUGGAUAACAAAGCCUUUUUUAAGUCAUUAAAUGCUUUAAGGGCCUCCUCUGACCAGAGAAAUCCAUCUUUCUUGGUUAAUGCAGUGAGGGGACGGGCUAUGACACCAUAAUUACGAACAAAGCGUCUGUAGUACCCUGAUAACCCAAGAAAACCUCUCACUUCCUUAACUGUCGAUGGUACGGGCCAUGAUUUAACUGCUGAUAUCUUUUCUUCUUCCACACUAACUCCUUUCGAGCUGAUCACAUGCCCAAGGAACACCACCUGUUCUUGCCCAAAGCAACAUUUCGAUAGUUUGGCAAAAAACUGGUUGUCAUGAAGUAAUUUUAAGGCCUGUUCCAAAUGGAAUUUGUGUUGUUCCAUACUUGGACUAUAAACUAAAAUAUCAUCAAAGAACACAAGUAUGAAACGUCGCAAGUAUGGACGGAAUAAAUCAUUCAUGAUAGCCUGAAAUGUGGAAGGAGCAUUAGUUAGGCCAAAAGGCAUGACCUUGAAUUCGUAAUGACCCGAGUGAGUGCGAAAGGCCGUUUUUUCAAUAUCCGGGGCUGCCACUCUAAUUUGAUAAUAACCCGAUCGCAAAUCGAGUUUUGAGAACACUGUAGCACCAUGCAGCUCAUCGAGUAAUUCGUCAAUAUUAGGGAUCGGAUAUUUAUCGGCAAUAGUUAUCUUGUUGAGGGCUCGGUAAUCGAUGCACAUACGCCAAGAAUUAUCUUUCUUCUUCACUAGUAGUACAGGGCUUGAAAAAGGGCUGGUGCUUGGUUGAAUAAAACCAGCGGCCAUCAACUGUUCCACUUGUUUUUCUAUCUCAUUUUUUUGGGAAUAGGGGUAACGGUAAGGACGGAUGUUAGGUGGAGUGGAGUUUGGCAUAAGUGGGAUUGAAUGGUUUUGUGAUCGAAUCGGGGGUAGAUGUUGAGGCUCUUUAAAGAUGGUGGUGUAUUGGUUGACAACUGGUUGCAAUGGGACGGGUAUACAAGGGGUAGUUUCUUGUUCAAUGGCUAGGUGUUGGAAACUGGAUGACUUUUGAGGGUCGGAUGAAAUGCCUUGUAGCUUAUAUCGCUUUCCAUCUAUUGAAAAAAUCAUAAAUAAUUCCUUCCAGUUAGCUUGAACCGUAUUUAACGUAGCUAACCAUUGAACACCCAAAACUAGAUCCGCUCCACCAAGAGAGAAAGGAUGAAAAUCCUGAGUGAUCUUGAGGUCAUUAAUCUGUACAGAAAGAUUUUUGCAGAUUUGACCACAUCGAAUUAGGUCUCCAUUACCGAUUUGAACACCAAAAGACGUUACCGGUUGAGUCGCCAACUUAAGUUCAUUCACCAAGACAUCUGAGAUAAAAUUGUGUGUAGAUCCGCCAUCUAUUAAAAUUAAAACUUCUGUAGAAUGAAGCAUACCAUGGAUUUUCAUUGUGGUAGGUUGCGAUUUUCCCAGAAUAGCAUGUAAGCUAAUUUCAGCAGUCUCCUGUUGGUCAGAAUCAAGAUCAGUAAGACCCAUUGUAGGAGAUUCUUCAACGGCUUCAUCAGCUUCUAAAACCUUGAGUGUACCGGUUUUGCAACGAUGACCCGGUCCGUAUUUUUCGCCACAUCUAAAGCAUUCCCCUUUUAGAAAUCGAUUUUGCUUCUCAUUUUCGGAAAUUCGUGAAACAUUUCUUGAUUGGUUUGAUGUUUGGGCUGGGAUACAAGAGUUCGGUUUAGGAUCUGCUUGUGAGAGUUUCGAAUUUGGGGUUCCCGAGAUAUUUUUCCCAGAUCGAUGACAAGUGAGUUUAGAUUCGAAUUCCAAAGCCAAACUCAUGGCACUAUAUACCGUACGGGGUUUGUGAAUUCGUACAUCUGAUUUUAGUUCAUCUUUUAGGCCAUUUAGGAAUACUCCUAAAAGACGGUGAUCUGGCCAAUUUGAAACCCGAGAAGUUCUCUUAGCGAACUCCUGCCGAUACUCUUGUACUGUACCAGUUUGUUUAAUGCUACAUAGGAACUCAUCAGGGUUCUGAAACUCAGCAGGGCCAAAAUUUCUUGUAAAUACCUGGACCAAUUCUUCCCAGAAGGUGAUCGGACGAUCAUCAGAUAACCAUGAAUAGAGGUCCAAGGCAUCUCCUUCUAAGUGCAUCGAAGCUAUCUCCACCUUUUCUUCAUCCGGGAUCUAAUAGUACCUGAAGUAUUUUUCGGCUUUCAGCAACCAUCCACGUGGGUCUCCGCUACUAAAAGUUGGGAAAUCAAUUUUGUUGUAGGGUUUAUGUGGCAUUCGACCCCUCCAACUGCUUUCCCCCUCGUCGUUCUUGCUCCCGCUGGACCGUUCCCUCUUUUUCAGGGCUGCUAUAUCUUCCUUCAUUGUUUCAAUUGAUUCCAGCUUUGCUGCUAUGGCAGCUAAUUGAGUGGCAAUGGGAUCGGGUGGGUUGUUGUCGCUAUUCCGGGUUUGCACUAUGUUAUUUCCCGGCAACGGAACCAAAUGAUAAGAACAGGGUUAUUAAGAAUAGAGGUAGGCUAGCUUUUUAUUAGAAAUGGCCCGAUUCAAGAGGGGCAAGGUCUCCAAUUACAGGAAAAGAUAGAUAUGAGUAAUAUGUGAUACUCAACUAAUAAGCAAACCUAUUAUUUAUAAUACCCUAUUCUUAAUAUUAAAUAUGGUAGCUGCUAAGGUUACGUAUGGUAAUUGCUCCCACUUCCUUUGAUAACCACCCCUUGAUUUGGGUAACUCCAGCCAAUUGCCAUUUAAUUGAUUUGGCCUAGUGGAUUCAUCCAAUUCCCAAAAAUAGAAUUCAAUUGCCCCAUAUUGGCAGCUGUCAUACGAUUCUUUUUCCUGGAAUAUACCUUUAGUGGAUUUUUAUCAGUGAAAUUCGGACAUGUGACAUUUUUCUGGAAUGGAAACUGGUCUGGAUAUUUCAAUGCUGAGCUGGAAGAAUAUUUUGAGAUUCUAAGUGAUAGUGGAAUUACUUUUAAUGUUCAACCAAAGAUGAAAU